ACACUCCUACGGGAGGCAGCAGUGGGGAAUUUUGGACAAUGGGCGAAAGCCUGAUCCAGCAAUGCCGCGUGUGUGAAGAAGGCCUUCGGGUUGUAAAGCACUUUUGUCCGGAAAGAAAUCCUUGGCUCUAAUACAGUCGGGGGAUGACGGUACCGGAAGAAUAAGCACCGGCUAACUACGUGCCAGCAGCCGCGGUAAUACGUAGGGUGCGAGCGUUAAUCGGAAUUACUGGGCGUAAAGCGUGCGCAGGCGGUUUGCUAAGACCGAUGUGAAAUCCCGGGGCUCAACCUGGGAACUGCAUUGGUGACUGGCAGGCUAGAGUAUGGCAGAGGGGGGUAGAAUUCCACGUGUAGCAGUGAAAUGCGUAGAGAUGUGGAGGAAUACCGAUGGCGAAGGCAGCCCCCUGGGCCAAUACUGACGCUCAUGCACGAAAGCGUGGGGAGCAAACAGGAUUAGAAACCCGUGUAGUCCCA
rnacentral:rRNA from 1 species